AUGGCAGCCCUGGAAUAAAGUCUGUUUAUCCAUAGAACAAGUACAACACAGGUAGUGACAGGCCAUACUUCUCCAUAUUUUCCCACCAAUAAGUCUCAAUCCUGGCUUGAAGGAGAUAUCUCUAGGAGUGAAAGGACAGUUCAAGCCCCAUGCCCAUUCAGUCAUUGGUCUCU
rnacentral:sRNA from 1 species